AGUGGUAGCGUAUAGGCUAUUUACCGUGCUUUGACAGACUGAAUGAAGCUGGACCAGGUUUAUAAAAGGUGUGGAACAGACUGAAUGAAGCUGGACCAGGUUUAUAAAAGGUGUGGAACAGACCGAAUGAAGCUGGACCAGGUUUAUAAAAGGUGUGGAACAGACUGAAUGAAGCUGGACCAGGUUUAUAAAAGGUGUGGAACAGACUGAAUGAAGCUGAUGUCGUCUAUCCUUGCCAUUCAUAAAUCAUUCAUACAGUAUGUCCAUGGUAUCGCGUCAGGACAACUAAAGAGCUCGUUUGUUUCCAUCAGGACUUCCCAGACAGUGACUCGUCAGUAGUCUGCCGCAUCAGUAAGAGAGACGUUCAUUUGGCUUCCUAAUUUGUAUACUGGUAGGGGCUUUUCUGCAGAUAAAUGACGAAAAUAUUAAAAUGAACCUGGUGAAUCAUUCUCACUGCACGAACAAUAGGGUAGAGGCUAUUGUUCGUCAUUCUGGUUCAAAAUAUGACAAAAGAAAAAACAGAUUGUAUUGAUAAAAGGCCAACUGAUGUAAUCAAUGUGCUGGUUUCAGUGUAGCAAAGCCCCAUAUUUAACACCUGCUUCCUUCUUCAAAUCACACCUGUAUUUCAGGAUGCCGUGGACGUCAACAGACUCUUACAUGACGACAUAUUAAAAAAAAAAAAGUAGUUCUGGAAUACAAAAAUCAACGGUUUACCCGAUAUGAAUGAAAAUACCCUCCAAUUAAAGCUGACAGUCUGCACUUUAACCUCAUAGUCAUUGUUUGGUUUCAAAUCCCAAAGUGCUGGAGUACGGAGCCAAAACAUCCAUAAAAGGUGUCACUGUGCCAAAACUUUUGGAGCUCACUGACAAAGGCUAACUUUCCGAACCUUCCCAACAAUACAGAGAGAAAGAAAACAGAUGUAAUAAAAAGGUAAAAAACGUAAUAAUAAUUACACAAUGAUAACUAGGUUAUAUACACAGGGUACCAGUACUGAGUAAUGAUAACUAGGUUAUAUACACAGGGUACCAGUACUGAGUAAUGAUAACUAGGUUAUAUACACAGGGUAGCAGUACUGAGUAAUGAUAACUAGGUUAUAUACACAGGGUACCAGUACUGAGUAAUGAUAACUAGGUUAUAUACACAGGGUACCAGUACUGAGUCAAUGAUAACUAGGCUAUAUACACAGGGUACCAGUACUGAGUAAUGAUAACUAGGUUAUAUACACAGGGUACCAGUACUGAGUAAUGAUAACUAGGUUAUAUACACAGGGUACUAAACUUUAUGGUGUUGGAGUCGUGUUUGGCCACGCAGUCGUGGGUGAACAGGGAGUACAGGAGGGGGCUAAGCACACACCCCUGAGGGGCCCCAGUGUUGAGGAUCAGCAUGGCGGAUGUGUUGUUGCCUACCCUCACCACCUGAGGGCGGCCCGUCAGGAAGUCCAGGAUCCAGUUGCAGAGGGAUGUGUUUAGUCCCAGGAUCCUUAGCUUAGUGAUG
rnacentral:lncRNA from 1 species